GUGCUCGCUUCAGCAGCACAUAUACCAAAAAAUUGGAAGGAUACCAAGAAGAUUAGCAUGGUCCCUGUGCAAGGAUGAUACGCAAAUUCAUGAAAUGUUCCAUAUUUUU
ensembl:snRNA U6 U6 spliceosomal RNA